rnacentral:lncRNA from 1 species
ACCUAGACAACAGUUAUCAAACACGACAGUCUCCAAUAAAGUCCACGAAGCUCACAAGGACUUUGGGCCACUUCAACAUGCCAGAAUUGACCGUAGACUCCCUCUGUUGGCCCAAGAUCAUGAUACUUUCAGCCAGCCAGCUCUGCUGAAGGAGCUAAAACUGGACCCUUAACUGAGUGUCCUGGGCCCCAAACCCUGCCUAGAUGGAACCUCUCCCUCAACAGCCUUGCACAGGCACCUUUGCCCUCGCAGUGAGGCCACUGGCUGACUCCUCCCCACACCUGAACCUCCAGCCCUCUCUCUCUACUAUGUCAUCUCUUCCCACCCUCUAUAACACUGAGUGGAGACUUAUUGGAGUAACUCUGCCAGGAAAUGGGCCUAAAGGCAUGAAGUAGCCAAGGGUGUGCCUCAGGCUCUAUGGGACAGGAGCAGGGAAGGAGCUAACAUCAGCCCCCAGGCUGGGAAGACAAGGAAAGGUCACCUUUAUUAAAGGCCUUGUACCUUGAUACAUUUUGACUCACUAUUCCAUUGAGUUUGGACAUUUAGGUUAUUUCCAAUUCUUUACUAUUUGGAGGAGCAUUGCGAUGAACAGUGAAUUCGUCAAAGGGUCUUGCUGUUGAUGCUCUGUCAUGUCUCUGUUCAGCAGUGGCCAGAUGUGUGCUGAGAGGUAAGGCAGGAACUGGAACAAUUUACUUGAGUCCUGCCAGAUAAUAUCUGCACAUCAUCACACUUGGGCCCCGGAGUUAGAGGACCUUUACCAUUCAAAGAGGAG